rnacentral:rRNA from 1 species
GCAAGUCGAACGAUGAACCACUUCGGUGGGGAUUAGUGGCGAACGGGUGAGUAACACGUGGGCAAUCUGCCCUGCACUCUGGGACAAGCCCUGGAAACGGGGUCUAAUACCGGAUACUGACCCCCGCAGGCAUCUGCGGGGUUCGAAAGCUCCGGCGGUGCAGGAUGAGCCCGCGGCCUAUCAGCUUGUUGGUGAGGUAACGGCUCACCAAGGCGACGACGGGUAGCCGGCCUGAGAGGGCGACCGGCCACACUGGGACUGAGACACGGCCCAGACUCCUACGGGAGGCAGCAGUGGGGAAUAUUGCACAAUGGGCGAAAGCCUGAUGCAGCGACGCCGCGUGAGGGAUGACGGCCUUCGGGUUGUAAACCUCUUUCAGCAGGGAAGAAGCGAAAGUGACGGUACCUGCAGAAGAAGCGCCGGCUAACUACGUGCCAGCAGCCGCGGUAAUACGUAGGGCGCGAGCGUUGUCCGGAAUUAUUGGGCGUAAAGAGCUCGUAGGCGGCUUGUCGCGUCGGUUGUGAAAGCCCGGGGCUUAACCCCGGGUCUGCAGUCGAUACGGGCAGGCUAGAGUUCGGUAGGGGAGAUCGGAAUUCCUGGUGUAGCGGUGAAAUGCGCAGAUAUCAGGAGGAACACCGGUGGCGAAGGCGGAUCUCUGGGCCGAUACUGACGCUGAGGAGCGAAAGCGUGGGGAGCGAACAGGAUUAGAUACCCUGGUAGUCCACGCCGUAAACGGUGGGCACUAGGUGUGGGCG